rnacentral:rRNA from 1 species
UACAGAGGGUGCGAGCGUUAAUCGGAAUUACUGGGCGUAAAGCGCGCGUAGGCGGCUUGUUAAGUCAAAUGUGAAGUCCCCGAGCUUAACUUGGGCAUUGCAUUCGAUACUGGCAAGCUAGAGUAUGGGAGAGGAAGGUAGAAUUCCAGGUGUAGCGGUGAAAUGCGUAGAGAUCUGGAGGAAUACCGAUGGCGAAGGCAGCCUUCUGGCCUAAUACUGACGCUGAGGUGCGAAAGCAUGGGGAGCAAACAGG